UGGGGAAUAUUGCACAAUGGAGGGAACUCUGAUGCAGCGACGCCGCGUGAACGAAGAAGGCGUUCGAGUCGUAAAGUUCUUUUAUAUGGGAAGAUAAUGACGGUACCAUAAGAAAAAGCCCCGGCUAACUACGUGCCAGCAGCCGCGGUAAUACGUAGGGGGCUAGCGUUGUCCGGAAUCACUGGGCGUAAAGGGUUCGCAGGCGGAAAUGCAAGUCAGGUGUAAAAGGCAGUAGCUUAACUACUGUAAGCAUUUGAAACUGCAUAUCUUGAGAAGAGUAGAGGUAAGUGAAAUUUUUAGUGUAGCGGUGAAAUGCGUAGAUAUUAAAAAGAAUACCGGUGGCGAAGGCGACUUACUGGGCUCAUUCUGACGCUGAGGAACGAAAGCGUGGGUAGCAAACAGG
rnacentral:rRNA from 1 species